rnacentral:ncRNA from 2 species
UCUCAGUAGUUCACAAUCGAUCGUCACGAACGGGCCUUUGUUGGAAGCCGGUGCAAUGCCGGCGCGGCCCCGCCACUGUAUGAGGCUCUGCCGUGUCUUUGGACACGACAGCUAGCAGCGACUUCUGCGCAACACCCACUGGUGCAUGCACCGGGAAGGGAGAAGCCGACCGCCUCGAGCCAGGAAACCGGCCGUUCGUUCCCGCUGCAA